rnacentral:misc_RNA from 1 species
AAAUGCGAUAAGUAAUGUGAAUUGCAGAAUUCAGUGAAUCAUCGAAUCUUUGAACACACAUUGCGCCCGCCAGUAUUCUGGCGGGCAUGCCUGUCCGAGCGUCAUUUCAACCAUCAAGCCCCCGGGCUUGUGUUGGGGACCUGCGGCUGCCCGCAGGCCCUGAAAACCAGUGGCGGGCUCGCUGUCACACCGAGCGUAGUAGCAAUCACCUCGCUCAGGGCGUGCUGCGGGUUCCGGCCGUUAAACAGCCUUACAAAACCCAAGGUUGACCUCGGAUCAGGUAGGAAGACCCGCUGAACUUAAGC